AGAGUUUGAUCCUGGCUCAGGAUGAACGCUGGCGGCGUGCCUAACACAUGCAAGUCGAGCGAAGCAAUUAAGAGGAAGUUUUCGGAUGGAAUGUUAAUUGACUGAGCGGCGGACGGGUGAGUAACGCGUGGGUAACCUGCCUCAUACAGGGGGAUAACAGUUAGAAAUGACUGCUAAUACCGCAUAAGCACACAGAACCGCAUGGUUCGGGGUGAAAAGCCGAGACGGUAUGAGAUGGACCCGCGUCUGAUUAGCUAGUUGGGGGGGUAACGGCCCACCAAGGCAACGAUCAGUAGCCGACCUGAGAGGGUGACCGGCCACAUUGGGACUGAGACACGGCCCAAACUCCUACGGGAGGCAGCAGUGGGGGAUAUUGCACAAUGGGGGAAACCCUGAUGCAGCGACGCCGCGUGAGUGAAGAAGUAUUUCGGUAUGUAAAGCUCUAUCAGCAGGGAAGAAAAAAGACGGUACCUGACUAAGAAGCCCCGGCUAACUACGUGCCAGCAGCCGCGGUAAUACGUAGGGGGCAAGCGUUAUCCGGAUUUACUGGGUGUAAAGGGAGCGUAGACGGCAAUACAAGUCGGAAGUGAAAUACCCGGGCUCAACCUGGGAACUGCUUUGGAAACUGUAUGGCUGGAGUGCUGGAGAGGUAAGCGGAAUUCCUAGUGUAGCGGUGAAAUGCGUAGAUAUAUGGAAGAACACCAGUGGCGAAGGCGGCUCUCUGGUCUGCAACUGACGCUGAGGCUCGAAAGCAUGGGUAGCGAACAGGAUUGAUACCCUGGUAGUCCAUGCCGUAAACGAUGAGUGCUAAGUGUUGGGGA
rnacentral:rRNA from 1 species